GCGUCUCUCUCUAAAUAUUUUUCGUUUUACGUUGGGUGUUUUAUUGACUUCGUUAUUUGAGGUUGCCGUAAAACAGUGGUACAACUUUACACUUUUACUAUGGUAUGGUAUAGGCCUACUAUUUCAUUUUCACAAAAAAUUGUUCUUAAAUAUUGGUAUGGGUGAAUUCGAUUGCAUUUUGUAGUAUUUUUCAGAAACAUUUAAGCCAGUUAUUUUGUAUUAAUACAGUAAGAUAUUGAAGGAAAUAAUGGAAGGAAGCAAAGAAACUUAUAAUCAAUGUGUUGUUCGCGAUGAGAUAUUCCCAAAUCACGAUCAACUGGAGGAACAUUGUAUAAUUCAUGUUGAAAUACAGAAUGAAAAAAUUGAACUUGAAAACAUUAUUGAGGAAGAAACAGAAAUUUGCACUAGUAUUAAAGCAGAAGUCGAACCGGAAGUAGUAAUAGAUGAAUUAGAUAGUUAUCGAUUUAACACGACAGAAGAAUUAAAAACUGUUAUAACUGAAAAUGAAGAGAGGUAUCUAGAUGAUGUCCAACAAAAUAAUGUUGAACAUGAGACAGAUAAAAUCUAUAAAUGUGAAUUUUGUGGAAAAGCUUUCCGCAAAAGAAGUUUUCUAAACACUCACAAGAAAAUUCACUCGGAACCAAAAUUUAAAUGUCAUCUGUGUGACAAGGCAUUUCACGAAAACGGUAAUUUAUUGAAGCAUCUGAUUCUUCAUUCCAGCACUCGUCCAUUUAAGUGCGAUAUUUGCGACAAAUCAUAUAAAUCAAAAUCUACUUUAAUAAAUCAUGUAAAGACCCACAGUCUGGAGAGACCCUUCAAAUGUGAAUAUUGUGACGCUGCAUUCAAAACAUCAGAUACCUUGCUCACACACACAAGAAUUCAUACGGGUGAAAAACCAUAUAAAUGUGAAAUUUGCUCAAAAUGUUUUAGUUAUCGAUUUAGUUUAAAAAAACACACACGAGGACAUACUGGAGAACGACCCUACCCCUGUGAUAACUGUAACAAGGCAUUUACAUGUAGUAGUGAUUUAACACGACACAUCCCAACUCACACUGGACAAAAAACUCAUAAAUGUGAUGUUUGUAGUAAAGCGUAUUGUCAGAAAGGUGACUUGAUAUUACAUCAAAGACAACAUAACUGAGAAAAUAUGUGAUAGGGCAUUUACUGUAACCAGAAUAAUAAUCUGAAGACAUGUUUGCCUUCACCAGUAUCUCCUAGUUUUCAAUUCAAUGCUUUAAAAGUAUGAAAUCAUUAGGCCUACCUCAAAUUCAACACAUUGUCAUCCCUACCUUGUCCUCAUCCAAAUAAAUGGAACUCUGUGUCUCCUAGUUUUCAAUUCAAUGCUUUAAAAGUAUGAAAUCAUUAGGCCUACCUCAAAUUCAACACAUUGUCAUCCCUACCUUGUCCUCAUCCAAAUAAAAUACACAUAUUCUCUUGUCUUAUUGGCUGUCAUGUACGUAGAUUAAUCUGAACUGUGGAGUACUAGUUUAACUGUUUAAAAUCAACUCACUAAUUAGUAGAUUAAAUCGAACUCACUGAGGACUAGUUUAAUAGUUUAAAAUCAUCUCACCAGUCAGUAGAUUAAUCUGUCUGUUCUCGAUCAGUAGAUUCAUCCUUGAGCUGGUCUCAUCACAUAAAUAUUAUCCCCUCCUCAAUUUUAUGGGAAAAUAACCUCUUCUACAUGUACCUUCUGGGGUUAACCCUCUCGCUUGCAUGUGUUCAGAAUAAAAUAAAACAAACCUUACACUACCAGAAUCUAAAGAGGAAUUCCGAUUGAUUGAUGCAUUAUUGUCAUAUAUGUUCUGAAUUUAGUGAUUUAGAUUGUUCAUACAUGUACUUCUACAAACAUAGAUGAAAGAAUUGCUAGGCAUUUGGUGAUCUAUGCCUGGACGCUGGCACUGGAAUAUUGUGACUUACAAUGUGUUAAUGAUCAAACUGAACAAAUUACUUUAUUGUUGUGGUUAAUUUCUUCAUGUUUCUUAAUAUUUUGGCUAAAAUAUUUUUUAUUAGAUGUACAAAUAUUUGAUGUAACUAUUAGAUCCAAGUGUUCUAGUAAAGUCAGCUGAUAAGAUAAUAUAGAGUUAACAGGUAAGACAAGAAAGAAUUUACAAUAAUGUAUAACAAAAUACCACAAAGGUAUAUCUGGAUAUAACUACUUCUCGGUUAUUUAAUAAGGAUGUUUUGUAACCAUGCAGGUCAAAGUUUCAAGUUGAAUAUUUAACAAAACUUCAUUAUUGAAUAACUGAGAAGUAAUUAUAUCCAGAUAUAGCUUGUGUUGUGUUUUGUUAUUUAGUUAACGGUACUUCUAGAUGUCAUUGAAAGAAAAGAAAUAAAUGUAUAUCAACAAGA